AUAGCAAUUAUCUCAAACUACGUCUCUUGAUCAAACAAAAGAAGAGACGGUUUCUUCUUGCUCUCUCUAUCGCGAAGAAGGAAGAAAGAAGGAGAAGCCAUAGCAGGAGUAGGACUUUUCCGAUGUAAACUCUUCAUCUCCUUUCCUCUGCGAUCCAGAGAAGGGGAAUUUGUGUUUGUAUGGACAUCCGAGUGAGUUGUGGGAAGUGAAUGAAACCCCAAUUCUUCCUCUGGAUUCAAUUCGAUUUCUUCGUAAUCCGCCAUGGAUGCUCAACGAGCUCUGUUGGACGAACUUAUGGGCGCAGCUCGUAAUCUGACGGACGAAGAGAGAAGAGGAUUCAAGGAGAUUAAGUGGGAUGACAGAGAGGUCUGCGCAUUCUACAUGGUUCGAUUUUGUCCUCACGACCUCUUCGUCAACACCAAAAGCGAUCUUGGUGCUUGCUUGAGGAUUCAUGAUCCCAAGCUCAAAGAGAGAGAUGUUGGAACAGAGGAGGAGGCUCGGCUCUGUUGAAAAAUGUGGAGAGAAUGGAGUCGGACAUAAUAGCGGGAUGCUUUUGCAACGCGGCGCAGGUGAUUGGGAUGAAGUGUUUGGUGACGGCGGUGGAGGUGAGAGAAGCGUCGGUGAGAGAAGCUGCGAUGCAUCUGGGGAGAACAGAGAAGAUACUUGAGAUUGUGGACAGGAGAUGCAUGCCUGCUUUGUCUCAUCACGAAGUGGCGAAGAUUGAUGAGUGGACAUAAAUUGAAGAUAUAUCUCCUCCUCUGCCCGAAGCAGACAAAGACGGUGGCGUUAUUGUUACAGAGAGUUCAACUCCCAUUGCAGAGGCAGCUUCUGAUGGUUUCAGCUCCAUGUCUGUGGUAAGGCAGUUGAAUCAGUUUCAAGUUUAUUGAAUGCUUGAACUUGUGUUUACAAAGUGAAUGGUAACGGAGUGUAGUACCUACGGCAACAUAUGAUUCGCACGUUCAGCCUAGCAACGAGAUAAAAUUAAUUUGAACUUGAAUUGCCAUAACUGAACAAAACGCUUUGUAAGACCUUAGUCAUGUGCUGAGUCUCAGUCCAUCAUUUUCUUGGCUUUAUUCUCAUGCUUUUCUAGGCCUUUGAUAUCAUCACGUUCAAAGCUACACUUCAUAUCGUUUCCUGUUUUUGAAUACAUUCAAAACUUGUAUGUUUUUGUAAGAACUGUCUUAG